CCCUUAGAUGUUCUGGACCGCACGCGCGCUACACUGAUGCAUUCAACGAGUUUUGUUUGUUCCUUGGCCGAGAGGCCUGGGCAAUCUUUUGAACUUGCAUCGUGAUAGGGAUAGAUUAUUGCAAUUAUUAAUCUUGAACGAGGAAUUCCUAGUAAACGCAGAUCAUCAAUCUGCAUUGAUUACGUCCCUGCCCUUUGUACACACCGCCCGUCGCACCUACCGAUUGAAUGGUCCGGUGAAGCCUCGGGAUUGUGGUUGGUUUCCUUUAUUGGAGAUUGAUUGCGAGAACUUGUCUAAACCUUAUCAUUUAGAGGAAGGUGAAGUCGUAACA
rnacentral:rRNA from 1 species